GCACCCGUAGCUCAGCUGGAUAGAGCACCAGACUACGAAUCUGGGGGUCAGGAGUUCGAAUCUCUUCGGGUGCA
rfam:Bartonella rochalimae ATCC BAA-1498 genomic scaffold supercont1.1, whole genome shotgun sequence.